rnacentral:rRNA from 1 species
CUAACGAGGAACGAUCGGAGGGCAAGUCUGGUGCCAGCAGCCGCGGUAAUUCCAGCUCCAAUAGCGUACGUUAAAGUUGCUGCAGUUAAAAAGCUCGUAGUUGAACGUUCGGGUUCCGCGGGACGGGGCCGCCCCGCGAGGGACGGCGCCGCCCCGGGGCUCGUGAUAUCUCAUCUCGCCGCCCGUCGCGAGGCGGACGGAGGGAUGGAUGAGGUUACCUGGAAAAAAUCGGGGCGAUCUAGGCGGGCGAACCUCGCCAACGAACGAUCGGACAUGGGAUAACGGAAGAGGGCGUCGGCUCGACUUCGUCGGUUCCUCGGGCCGAGGCACGUACGGUGAAUAGGGACGGUCGGGGCCGCCCGUACCGGGUCGUGAGAGGUGAAAUUCUAGGAUCGACCCGAGACGAACCGCCGCGAAAGCAUUCGGCAAGGACGCUUCUAUAAUUACAAGAACGAAAGUACGGGGAGUCG